AUUCUAAGAAAAUUCUUAGAAAUGUGGGCGUUUACUCUUAAAAUUAAAGAAAAAAGUCAUUCAGAAAGCAUCUUAACCCUUAAAAGAGGUCUUAAGGUCAAAAUUGUUAGGAGUAUGGAUGAGGACUUUUAAGAGGCUUAAGAGUUUCUUUAGCAGAGGAGAAAAUGACAGAACGAUGAAGAGGGAGAGGAAAUGUGAUGCAGACAAUAGAUGACAGUGAGUUAAUAAGACGCUAUAGAUGACAGCAGUGAUUUGGGUCUGUCACAACCUUCUGUAAGCAGUGAUCACACAAACAUUACAGCACUUUCAGAACCUC